GAUGAAGAACGUAGCGAAAUGCGAUACUUGGUGCGAAUUGCAGAAUCCCGUGAGCCAUCGAGUCUUUGAACGAAAGUUGCGCCUCAAGCCAUUAGGUUGAGGGCACGUCUGCCUGGGCGUCACAUAUCGUUGCCUGAUGCCAGUUUCCUCGUGAUGGGUGACUGUGCAGGGCGAAUGAUGGCUUCCCGUGAGCAUUGUUGCCUCAUGGUUGGUUGAAAAUUGAGUCCUUGGUAGGGAGCGCCGUGAUAGAUGGUGGUUGAGUGACGAACGAGACCCAAUCAUGUGAGACCCCUACCGAAUUUGGCCUUCAUGACCCACAUGCGUCUUUGGAACGCUCAUGACGAGACCUCAGGUCAGGCGGGGCUACCCGCUGAGUUUAAGCAUAUCAAUAAGCGGAGGA
rnacentral:misc_RNA from 1 species